rnacentral:rRNA from 1 species
GAUGAACGCUGGCGGCGUGCUUAACACAUGCAAGUCGAACGGAAAGGCUCCUGCUUGCAGGGGUACCCGAGUGGCGAACGGGUGAGUAACACGUGGGUGAUCUGCCCUGCACUUCGGGAUAAGCCUGGGAAACUGGGUCUAAUACCGGAUAGGACGAUGGUUUGGAUGCCAUUGUGGAAAGUUUUUCGGUGUGGGAUGAGCUCGCGGCCUAUCAGCUUGUUGGUGGGGUAAUGGCCUACCAAGGCGUCGACGGGUAGCCGGCCUGAGAGGGUGUACGGCCACAUUGGGACUGAGAUACGGCCCAGACUCCUACGGGAGGCAGCAGUGGGGAAUAUUGCACAAUGGGCGCAAGCCUGAUGCAGCGACGCCGCGUGGGGGAUGACGGCCUUCGGGUUGUAAACUCCUUUCGCUAGGGACGAAGCGCAAGUGACGGUACCUGGAGAAGAAGCACCGGCUAACUACGUG